GCUUAGCCCUUAACAUAGACAGUAAAAACACAAUACUGUCCGCCAGAGAACUACAAGUGAAAAACUAGAAACUCCAAGGACUUGGCGGUGCCCCACACCAACCUAGAGGAGCCUGUCCUAUAAUCGAUAAUCCACGUUGAACCUUACCACCUCUAGCNAACUCNAGCCUAUAUACCGCCGUCGAAAGCUUACCUUGUGAAAGAGGCAAAGUAAGCAAAAUAGUCAAUAACUAAAACGUCAGGUCAAGGUGUAGCACAUGAGGCGGAAGAGAUGGGCUACAUUUUCUACCNCCAGAAAACACGAACAGCACAAUGAAACCUGUACUCAAAGGCGGAUUUAGUAGUAAGACAAAAAAGAAACUUUAUCUUAAACCCGCUCUGGGGCGCGC
rnacentral:rRNA from 1 species